UGGCUCAGGAUGAACGCUAGCGGCAGGCCUAAUACAUGCAAGUCGAACGAUACUCUUUAGCUUGCUAGAGAGGAAAGUGGCGCACGGGUGCGUAACGCGUAUGCAACCUACCUUAAUCAGGGGGAUAGCCCGAAGAAAUUCGGAUUAACACCGCAUAAAAUCACAGUAUAGCAUUAUACAAUGAUCAAAUAUUUAUAGGAUUAAGAUGGGCAUGCGUGACAUUAGUUAGUUGGCGGGGUAACGGCCCACCAAGACCACGAUGUCUAGGGGAUCUGAGAGGAUGACCCCCCACACUGGUACUGAGACACGGACCAGACUCCUACGGGAGGCAGCAGUAAGGAAUAUUGGUCAAUGGAGGCAACUCUGAACCAGCCAUGCCGCGUGCAGGAAGACAGCCCUCUGGGUCGUAAACUGCUUUUAUUCGGGAAUAAACCUGCUUACGAGUAAGUAGCUGAAUGUACCGAAGGAAUAAGGAUCGGCUAACUCCGUGCCAGCAGCCGCGGUAAUACGGAGGAUCCAAGCGUUAUCCGGAUUUAUUGGGUUUAAAGGGUGCGUAGGCGGCUUUUUAAGUCAGGGGUGAAAGACGGUGGCUCAACCAUCGCAGUGCCCUUGAUACUGAAGAGCUUGAAUGA
rnacentral:rRNA from 1 species